ensembl:lncRNA
GGAGAAAGGCGAGAGGGGCCAACGAAGAGGAGAGGAAUAUAUAGAGAGAAGUGAAUAGAGAGAAGAGAGGAAUAGAGAGGAAUAGACAGGAAUAGAGAGAAGGGAGAAAGCAGUAGAGGGAAGAAUAGAGGGAAGAAAUUAAUAUGAAUUAAAAAAAAAGGUAGGAACAGAGAGGAAUGGAGAAGAGGAAUAAGUUGAGCAAUACAAAAAGGAGAGGAAUCAGUAGAGGAGUGGAUAAAGUAGAGGAGAUGAUAAGGUAGAGUGGAUAAAGUAGAGGAGAGGAUAAGGUAGAGGAGAUGAUAAGGUAGAGAGGAUAAAGUAGAGGAGAGGAUAAGGUAGAGGAGAUGAUAAGGUAGAGAGGAUAAAGUAGAGGAGA